rnacentral:tRNA from 1 species
GCCUGGGUGGCUCAGUUGGUUAAGCAUCUGACUUCAGCUCAGAUCAUGAUCUCACGGUUCAUGAGUUCAAGCCCCACAUCAGGCU